rnacentral:rRNA from 1 species
GGAAUAUUGCGCAAUGGGCGCAAGCCUGACGCAGCCAUGCCGCGUGUGUGAAGAAGGCCUUCGGGUUGUAAAGCACUUUCACUUGGGAAGAAAGGUUGCGUGUUAAUAGCACGUAGCUGUGACAUUACCUUGAGAAGAAGCACCGGCUAACUCCGUGCCAGCAGCCGCGGGAAUACGGAGGGUGCGAGCGUUAAUCGGAAUUCGUGGGCGUAAAGCGCGCGUAGGCGGUUUGUUAAGUCAGCUGUGAAAGCCCCGGGCUCAACCUGGGAACUGCAGUUGAUACUGGCCGACUAGAGUAUGAGAGAGGGAGGUAGAAUUCCAUGUGUAGCGGUGAAAUGCGUAGAUAUAUGGAGGAAUACCGGUGGCGAAGGCGGCCUCCUGGCUCGAUACUGACGCUGAGGUGCGAAAGCGUGGGGAUCAAAC